rnacentral:rRNA from 1 species
AGCGAACGCUGGCGGCAGGCCUAACACAUGCAAGUCGAACGAACUCUUCGGAGUUAGUGGCGGACGGGUGAGCAACACGUGGGAACGUGCCUUUAGGUUCGGAAUAACUCAGGGAAACUUGUGCUAAUACCGAAUGUGCCCUUCGGGGGAAAGAUUUAUCGCCUUUAGAGCGGCCCGCGUCUGAUUAGCUAGUUGGUGAGGUAAAGGCUCACCAAGGCGACGAUCAGUAGCUGGUCUGAGAGGAUGAUCAGCCACAUUGGGACUGAGACACGGCCCAAACUCCUACGGGAAGCAGCAGUGGGGAAUCUUGCGCAAUGGGCGAAAGCCUGACGCAGCCAUGCCGCGUGAAUGAUGAAGGUCUUAGGAUUGUAAAAUUCUUUCACCGGGGACGAUAAUGACGGUACCCGGAGAAGAAGCCCCGGCUAACUUCGUG